UACGUAGGGUCCGAGCGUUGUCCGGAAUUAUUGGGCGUAAAGGGCUCGUAGGCGGUCUGUUGCGUCGGGAGUGAAAUCUUACAGCUUAACUGUGAACUUGCUUUCGAAUACGGGGCAGACUUGAGGCAUCAGGGGAGAACGGAAUUCCUGGUGUAGCGGUGAAAUGCGCAGGAUAUAGGAGGAACACCGGUGGCGAAGGCGGCCA
rnacentral:rRNA from 1 species